GUGGGGAAUUUUCCGCAAUGGGCGAAAGCCUGACGGAGUGACGCCGCGUGUGGGAUGAAGGCCUUCGGGUCGUAAACCACUGUCAGUGGGAAAGAUGGGUGCCGGCGCGAUAACCGCCGGCAUCUGACGGUACCUGCAGAGGAAGCCCCGGCCAACUCUGUGCCAGCAGCCGCGGUAAGACAGAGGGGGCAAGCGUUGCUCGGAAUUACUGGGCGUAAAGGGCGCGUAGGCGGGAUGGCAAGUCGGUCGUGAAAUCCUUCGGCUCAACCGGAGAACGUCGAUCGAUACUGCCGUCCUUGAGGAUUGCAGAGGAGACUGGAAUUCCCGGUGUAGCGGUGAAAUGUGUAGAGAUCGGGAGGAACACCGGUGGCGAAGGCGGGUCUCUGGGCAAUUCCUGACGCUGAGGCGCGAAAGCGUGGGGAGCAAACGGGAUUAGAAACCCUAGUAGUCC
rnacentral:rRNA from 1 species